rnacentral:rRNA from 1 species
UACAGAGGUCCCAAGCGUUGUUCGGAUUCACUGGGCGUAAAGGGUGCGUAGGUGGUGAGGUAAGUCGGAUGUGAAAUCUCCGAGCUCAACUCGGAAAUGGCAUUGGAAACUGCCUUGCUAGAGGAUUGGAGGGGAGACUGGAAUGCUUGGUGUAGCAGUGAAAUGCGUAGAUAUCAAGCGGAACACCAGUGGCGAAGGCGAGUCUCUGGACAAUUCCUGACACUGAGGCACGAAAGCUAGGGGAGCAAACAGG